rnacentral:rRNA from 1 species
AUUGAACGCUGGCGGCAGGCUUAACACAUGCAAGUCGAGCGGGGUGAUGGUGCUUGCACUAUCACUUAGCGGCGGACGGGUGAGUAAUGCUUAGGAAUCUGCCUAUUAGUGGGGGGCAACAUCUCGAAAGGGAUGCUAAUACCGCAUACGUCCUACGGGGGGAAGCAGGGGAUCACUUGUGACCUUGCGCUAAUAGAUGAGCCUAAGUCGGAUUAGCUAGUUGGUGGGGUAAAGGCCUACCAAGGCGACGAUCUGUAGCGGGUCUGAGAGGAUGAUCCGCCACACUGGGACUGGGACACGGCCCAGACUCCUACGGGAGGCAGCAGUGGGGAAUAUUGGACAAUGGGGGGAACCCUGAUCCAGCCAUGCCGCGUGUGUGAAGAAGGCCUUAUGGUUGUAAAGCACUUUAAGCGAGGAGGAGGCUCUUUUGGUUAAUACCCAGAAUGAGUGGACGUUACUCGCAGAAUAAGCACCGGCUAACUCUGUGCCAGCAGCCGCAGUAAAAC